GGUAUACUUGGCUUAAUUUUUUAUAAAUUCAUAGGGCGUUGUGAGAGUUAUAAGUUUAGUGUAUACUAUUUUGUUGAUACAUUUUAUAAAGAUGGAAUUUGUUUUAGUACAUUAAGUGAUUGUUUCUGUUUAUAUCUUUCUAUUCAUAAUUUUGUUUCAUCUCAUUUCUGAAUCUGCAGCUUAAGUACCCAUCAGCACUUAA
rnacentral:misc_RNA from 1 species